UAUUUUGACUAUACAAAGGUAUUGUAAUAAGAUUUUAAUUGAAUGCUAAAAGAAUGGAAAUUUAAAAAAAAACUUUUUUAAAAAUAAAAAUUGAAUUUUUUUUAAUUUGUGCAAAAACAAUUAUACUUAUUAAAGACAAGAAGACCCUAAGAAUUUAAGAUUUUACAAUUAAAAAGUUUUUUUUUUAAAAUCUUGAUUGGGGCGAUCAAAAAAUAUUAAUAACUUUUUAAAAUUUAAAUUGAUCGAUUAUUAAUAAACUAAUGAAUUAAAUACUCUAGGGAUAACAGCGUAAUAAUUUUUGAUAGAUCUUAUUGACAAAAUAGUUUGCGACCUCGAUGUUGGAUUAGGAUUCUUUUUUAAUGAAGAAGUUAAAAAAAGAAGUUUGUUCAACUUUUAAAUUCCU
rnacentral:rRNA from 1 species